rnacentral:rRNA from 1 species
CUGGUUGAUCCUGCCAGUAGUCAUAUGCUUGUCUCAAAGAUUAAGCCAUGCAUGUCUAARAAUAAACCCUUGAACGGUGAAUCUGCGAAUGGCUCAUUAAAUCAGUUAUUGUUUAUUUGAUGGUACCUUACUACUUGGAUAACCGUAGUAAUUCUAGAGCUAAUACAUGCGCCAAGCCCUGACUUCGGAAAGGGUGCAUUUAUUARAUUCAAACCAUCGGUCCGUCUGGGCAACUGGGCGUGGCCUUUGAUGGUGAGUCAUAAUAACUUAGCGAAUCGAAUGGCCUUGAGCCGUCGAUGCUUCAUUCAAAUUUCUGCCCUAUCAGCUUUCGAUGGUAGGAUCUUGGCCUACCAUGGCUAUAACGGGUAACGGGGAAUUAGGGCUCGAUUCCGGAGAGGGAGCUUGAGAAACGGCUACCACAUCCAAGGAUGGCAGCAGGCGCGCAAAUUACUCAAUCCCGACACGGGGAGGUAGUGACAAUAAAUAACGAUGCUGGAUUAUUCUUAAUCCGGCAAUUGGAAUGAGAGUGAAUUAAAUCUCCACUCGAGGAACCAUUGGAGGGCAAGUCUGGU